AGAGACUGCAAGCGUUAUUCGGAUUCACUGGGCGUAAAGGGUGCGCAGGCGGCCAAGUGUGUGAGGCGUGAAAGCCCGGGGCUUAACCCCGGAAUUGCACCUCAAACUACUUGGCUAGAGCAUUGGAGAGGGUAGCAGAAUUCAUGGUGUAGCAGUGAAAUGCGUAGACAUCAUGAGGAAUACCAGUGGCGAAGGCGGCUACCUGGACAAUUGCUGACGCCCAGGCACGAAAGCGUGGGGAGCAAAAGGGAUUAGAUACCCCUGUAGUCCACGCCCUAAACGGUGCACACUAGGUCUUGGCGGAUUCGACCCCCCCAGGGCCCAAGCUAACGCGUUAAGUGUGCCGCCUGAGGACUACGGCCGCAAGGCUA
rnacentral:rRNA from 1 species